AAUAAUAUUCCGCGGCGCUGUAACGACAGGAAGGAAAACCGAUCUCAUAGAAAGUUUGGAAGCAUACGAAAGGAAUUUCAACUUUAGCGGUCCCGUCAUAGAACUGCCAGUAGAAAGGAAUGUAGAAUGGCCAACUACUGGGUAUAAACAAAUGACAUCGGACCAUUAUGACCAUUUGCCACACAUAACAGAAGCCCACAUCGAAGACAAUGCAAGCAGUCGACAGACAAAUGAUGGGCAAUACAAAGGCCAUUGUGAAAGGAAAAUUACUCCUGGAGUCAGAGAGAGUUGAAACACUGAGCAUUAACUGUCAAGAUGAAGACUUUUUCCUUACAGGAUUUGUCAGAGAUGCAAUGAAGAAAAAGGCUCCCCCAUAAAAGCUGAAGACAUGCCUUGGACUUAUAAUCCAGAUCUUAGUGACCCUCGGCCUCAGAAAUACAGAGGAAAAGCUGGAUACAAUGAUUAUGUGAGCAACAUUGUAACUAACUACUGUGCUGUAACAUCUGCAGAUUUGGCUUUCAAGUACAUAAAGCCCAAGGCAUUUAUCAACAUUGCAGUACUAGACCAUGAUUACUUGGACCUUCCAUUCACCGAAUAUUGGAUAGAUGCAGCUCAAAAGGUGUCAGAUAGGGACAUCGCUCGCAUUGAACACAGAACGAGGAAACAGAGCCUGUCGAAAGUUUGGCACCGUGAAAGAAAAUGGCGUUUGACAGCUUCCAGGUUUGGGGAUACUAGUAUAUGCAAAGCUACUGAUCGACGCAACAGAUUGAAGCUGUGUUCUAGCAUCUUAAAACCUCUUAAAUUAAAAACACUCGCUGUCCUACAUGGCCAACAAUAUGAAGCUGUGGCAAGACAAGUAUUCUAAGACAAAACAGGUUUUAAAGUCAAAACUUGUGGCCUUUUUGUAGAUUUAGAGAAUAAUUAUUUGGCUGCUUCGCCGGAUGGUAUUAUUGGAGAAAGUGCGAUUAUUGAAAUCAAAUGUCCAUAUAAGGGUAGAGAUCGUAAGAUUGCUGCAGAUAAGUUUUUCCCAUUCUUGCUAGAGGAUGAUGAUGGUGUAUUGCACUUGAGUCAUAAUUAUUACAUGCAGGUGCAAGGGCAGCUUAAUGUGUGUAAAAAAGAGAAGUGUUUCUUUGUUGUAUACACAUUUGUUGAUAUUUUUGUGGAAGAAAUUAAUGUUGAGAGAGAUUACUGGUGUGGUUGCAUGUUACCAAAGCUAGAGUUGUUUUAUAAGAAACACUACAGAAAAUUUCUUGCUGAAAAAUUGUAAAUUGGUGUCAUUAUCAAUCUGCAGUUGAGGGCCGUUGUUAAGGAAAACAUUUGUGAUGUACAGAAAAUUUCAUUUAUUAUUUAUAUAGAUACCGGUAAUGAUACAAUUUUCAUAUAUAGAAAAGCUUUUUUCAGCUCUAAAGAUCAGCAGUUCUGUUCAGCACAAUAUUUUUAAAUUAAUUGUUUAUCACAGAAUACAUUGUUUAAUUCUGUUUUAAUGGAUACUUUUUUAGCUCACCUGAGCCGAAGGCUCAAGUGAGCUUUUCUGAUCACAUUUUGUCUGUCGUCCGUCUGUAAACUUUUCACAUUUUCGACUUCUUCUCAAGAACCAAUGGACCAAAUUUAACCAAACUUGGUACAAAGCAUUCUUGGGUGAGGGGAAGUUUAAAUUGUAAAAAUGAGGGGGUCAAGUCCCCUUCCAAGGGGAGAUAAUCAAGAAAAUACAAAAAUAGGGUGGGGUCAUUAAAAAUCUUCUUCUCCAGAACCACUGGGCCAAGAAAGCUGAAACUUAUGUGGAAGCAUCCUUGGGUAGUGUAGAUAUUAAAUUGUAAAAAUCAUGACCCCCGGGGGUAGGGCGGGGCCACAAUAGGGAAUCCAAGUUUUACAUAGAAAUAUAUAGAAAAAAAUCUUUAAAAAUCUUCUUCUCAAGAACCACUGGGCCAGGAAAGCUGAAACUUAUGUGGAAGCAUCCUUGGGUAGUGUAAAUAUUAAAUUGUAAAAAUCAUGACCCCCGGGGGUAGGGCAGGGCCACAAUAGGGAAUCCAAGUUUUACAUAGAAAUAUAUAGAACAAAUCUUUAAAAAUCUUCUUCUCAAGAACCACUGAACCAGGAAAGCUGAAACCUUAUGUGGAAGCAUCCUUGGCUAGUGUAGAUGGUAAAUUGUUAAAAUCAUGACCCCUGUGGGAAGGGCGGGGCCACAAUAGGGAAUCCAAGUUUUACAUAGAAAUAUAUAGAACAAAUCUUUAAAAAUCUUCUUCUCAAGAACCACUUGGCCAGGAAAGCUGAAACUUAUGUGGAAGCAUCCUUGGGUAGUGUAGAUUCUAAAGUAUUAAAAUUAUGUAAGGGGAGGGGGUAUGGAGGGGGGCAUGAUAGGUAUAGCAAGAGGGGAAAUUUGCUAAAGAUCUGCUUCACCCAAGUUACUCAGGUGAGCGAUGUGGCCCAUGGGCCUCUUGUUGUUAUUGACAUGUUGUUUUAUAUCAUAACAAAAUGUAAUUUUUCAAUAUUCAUCAUGGAAUUAAGAUUCAUUUGAUUUGAGGGAAAUGAUUGUGAAGUUAUUACAUGUAAUAAUUAGAAAACAUUAUAAAGGUGUCUAGAUAAUAUGUACAGUAGUGUGACAUAAAUGAGUUCGCAAAAUGGCCGCCGUCAUCGUAAGUAUUUAAGAAGGGCGGUGAAUCAGUUGCUGAAAUAACGUUAUCGCUUCUCUUAAAGAAAAAAAUAUUUAAUUGAAAUUUAGGUACGACUUAACUAAUUCUGUCCAUUGUUGUAAAUUUGGAUUAUUCCCCUUUGAUAAACAAUUAUCGUCUGCUUGGAGAUAUGGCUCCCCAUGGUCGAGAAUUGACGAGUGACUUAAAAGAAAUAAUCAUUCAGAUGUCAAAUGAAGGUCUGUCAAGCUACAAAAUUGAAAAUCUAACCGGAAUUAACAGUCGUACCAUCCAAAAAUUUCUCAAACGUGUGAGGGAAAGGGGUAACAUAGAAAAUUUACCGAGAAGUGGGGUGAAACGAAAAACUUCACAGAGAGAUGACAGGGUUCUUUCCCGAAGCAUUAAAAUCAACCGUCGUCAGACUUUAAAAGAUAUAACAUCCAAAUUCAAUGCCAGGACAGGAUCUAAUGUGUCACUCAGAACAGUUCAUAGACGAUUAUCAGAGGAAGGUUAUAAGAGGUGCGUAGUUUCUAAGAAAACAACUGUUUCACGCGUGAAUAGAGAGAAGAGAACCCGAUUUUGUCGACAGAAAUUGCACUGGACAGUAAACAAUCAUUGGUCAUCCAUAAUAUUCAGUGAUGAGACUAAGACAGUUAUUGGAAAUAACGAUAAAGUUCAUGUCUGGAGGAAGAGUGAGGAAAGAAUACGUCCUGAAUGUGUCGGGUUGCGUGGUGAUUGGGAAACGAACUGUCGGGCUUCCCUUAUGUUUUGGGGUUGCAUAUGUUAUAAUGGAGUUGGUACCCUAAAAACUGUGGAUGGGAACAUGAAUAGCGAGAAAUAUAUUGCAAUUCUUGAUGAGUGUCUUUUGCCUGUGAUCGCUCGUCAUUUCCCCAAACCGACGCUGGACCUUCCAAGAAGACAACGCCCCCUGUCAUGUCUCCGCUUUCUCAAAUCGUUGGAAACAAGACAAUAACGUUAACACUCUACCAUGGCCCCCCACAAAGUCCUGAUCUAAAUAUAAUAGAAAAUGUCUGGAGAGUGCUCAAAAUCCGUGUACGAAGAAGGACACAUGAGGUCAAAAACGCGAAUGAUCUGGAGCGAAUCGUCCAUGAAAUAUGGAGUAGCCUCCCUUUGCACUAUAUUCAGAGUUUAUAUGCAAGCAUUCCUAGGAGAAUUGGAAGUGUUCUACGCUCAAGAGGCCAUAUAACAAAGUACUAACACAAAAAGGUAAGUGGUAAUAUUAGUUUAUUGAUAGAAAUUAGAUUUUACAUACCGCAAGCGCACCGCACGCAUGAAUGACGGCGGCCAUUUUGCGAACUCAUUUACGUCACACUACUGUAGAUAUAUUCAUUUGCUGUUUUAAGGCAGAAACUGUAUCAGAAGUGAAAGUUAAAGAAGUAGUACAUGUACCUGGUAUGUGAAGAUUUAAGCUUGAAUAAUGGAAUUGUAAGUAAACUGAAAAGAAUCAUUUGUUUCAUUAAUACAGCAUGUAAUAAAUGAUGUAUCCACCAUUAUUUGGAA